rnacentral:rRNA from 1 species
CGCUGGCGGCAGGCUUAACACAUGCAAGUCGAGCGCCCCGCAAGGGGAGCGGCAGACGGGAGAGUAACACGUGGGAACGUACCCUUCAGUACGGAACAACCAAGGGAAACUUUGGCUAAUACCGUAUACGUCCGUAAGGAGAAAGAUUUAUCGCUGAAGGAUCGGCCCGCGUCUGAUUAGCUAGUUGGUGGGGUAAUGGCCCACCAAGGCGACGAUCAGUAGCUGGUCUGAGAGGAUGAUCAGCCUCACUGGGACUGAGACACGGCCCAGACUCCUACGGGAGGCAGCAGUGGGGAAUAUUGGACAAUGGGCGCAAGCCUGAUCCAGCCAUGCCGCGUGGAUGAUGAAGGCCCUAGGGUUGUAAAGUCCUUUUAACGGGGAAGAUAAUGACGGUACCCGUAGAAUAAGCCCCGGCUAACUUCGUGCCAGCAGCCGCGGUAAUACGAAGGGGGCUAGCGUUGCUCGGAAUCACUGGGCGUAAAGCGCACGUAGGCGGAUUCUUAAGUCGGUGGUGAAAGCCUGGAGCUCAACUCCAGAACUGCCUUCGAUACUGAGAGUCUUGAGUCCGGGAGAGGUGAGUGGAACUGCGAGUGUAGAGGUGAAAUUCGUAGAUAUUCACAAGAACACCAGUGGCGAAGGCGGCUCACUGGCCCGGUACUGACGCUGAGGUGCGAAAGCG